UAUAUACUCCCUCCGUCUGGAAAUACUUGUUAGUGGAAUGGAUGUAUCUAGACGUAUUUUAGUUCUUGAUACAUCCAUUUUUAUGCAUUUCUCUGACAAAUAUUUCCGGACAGAGGGAGUAUUAA
rfam:Triticum aestivum genome assembly, contig: Triticum_aestivum_CS42_TGACv1_scaffold_404642_5BL